AUCACUUCUCCUCCAUAGUCUACCCAUCCGUCCUUGAUGAUUUGCCUCCUCUGGUUGCGGUUGCGUUGUCUUCUUCUUGUCCUGACCUGCUUAAAAUCUUCAACUAUAUAGUUAGAAUCAUUAAAGUAGUGGCGUACCUUCUCAGAGGGGAAGUGCAUGUGGACAUCUCCGGUUCUAAUGUAGAUGAUUGCUUUGAUAGUGUUGAGGAACGGUCUUCCAAGGAUGAUGGGUGCAUCAUACUCGUCUUCUCCCAUGUUAAUGACCUGAAAAUUACCUGGAGCCGAAUGUAUGUUGGUUGUAGGAGCAUGGUUCCAUGCAGGAGCUGAUAAGUGACUGCGGCCAUUAUGUUGUCGUCAGAUCCGGUGUCGUAGAGUGUCUUCUAAAAAGAGUAUCCAUUGAUUGUGCACUCAAUGCUUGGAACACCAGGGUCGUCCUUCUUGAUCAAGAAAGGUGACUUGAGUCGACGAUCUUGACCUCCUUG
rnacentral:lncRNA from 1 species